rnacentral:rRNA from 1 species
UCGAGAAUCUUCGGCAAUGGACGAAAGUCUGACCGAGCGACGCCGCGUGCGGGAUGAAGGUCUUCGGAUUGUAAACCGCUGUCGAGGGGAAUCAAAUGCUUGGGGGUUCUCCCCCUAGUUUGAGAGAACCCUGGAGGAAGGGGAGGCUAAGCUCGUGCCAGCAGCCGCGGUAAGACGAGCUCCCCAAACGUUAUUCGGUAUCACUGGGCUUAAAGAGUUCGUAGGCGGCGAAGUAGGUGAGGUGUGAAAGCCCUCGGCUCAACCGAGGAACUGCGCUUCAAACCGCUUUGCUAGAGGGAGAUAGGGGUAAGCGGAACAGAUGGUGGAGCGGUGAAAUGCAUUGAUAUCAUCUGGAACACCGGUGGCGAAAGCGGCUUACUGGAUCUUUUCUGACGCUGAG